rnacentral:lncRNA from 1 species
CCUAAGUCAGAUAGAAAUUUAGGACAGGGACCUUGCCCCGUGUGAGCAAGGAGAAAAUCAAGAGAAACGUAGUGCCUACAGAUGAUGUUUAGCCAGAUGCCUGGUAUAUGUUCUAAAAGGGUUUAUAGUUCCUUAAGGCAAUCAAUCAGUGUCUUCCUCUGAAGGGGUCAAAAUCCAUAGUCAAAAUUCUGAGAACUGACAGACUCAUCUCAUGGGGAAAAAAGCAGCUAAGGAGUUUUCCCUCAGCAGAUACUAGAUCUCAAUGUGCCUGGCUUCCUAAAACAGCUAAAGUUGAGAUCUUUGGGUUCUAAGCUAAAAGGGAUUAAAGCUCACCCUGCCUGUUACAGAGAACAGGUGACAUCUCAGCUGAGGGAUGGAGCUGAAGUCAGAAGCUGGAAGCAGAGGGAGCCUCCAUGACCAUGUGCCCGGCAAAAGAGUACCAUCCAGUGGUCACCUGAGGCCAGCAAGGAGCAUCUGCCUGAAGAAACUACGGGCCCUGCAGAGACUACGCGCUAUGGGACCAGUGAGGAGCGAGUCCAUCGGCAGCAUCGCCGACCAACCCUGCAGUUUCAGAGGAGGCGAGGAAAGUAGUACUUCAUCUCACAGAUGAAGAAACAGACCCUGGGGUCAGGAAGACUUGAGUUCAAAUCCUGCCACUCCAAGUGACUCUGGGUAAGUCUCUUCACCCAUCUGCCUCAGUUUCUCAACUUAAAAAGGUUCUGGGUUAUACAUGGAUUAUCACACAAAACCUGGUUCCUUAUUCAUUUUGGCAAGGGAACAAUCCCUUCAAAACCAACCCCCCAAAUCAUAUACCCAAAUAAACAAGUGACAAAUCCUAGGUUCUCGUCUGCA